UAAUCUUCUUUGUUUUUUUUUUUUUUUUUUUUUUUUAUUGAAAUUCACAAUUUGUCCAAUUUGGACAUUUGGUGGAAUUUUUUAACAGUUAUAUUAGCAUGUUGGUGGCUACCCCCAGCGGGGUACCAUCCUCGUGUUUGCUAGGUUAUGUCCUUUAUAAGGUCUGUUGGGUGCUUCCUUUUUAGUCUUCUGUCCAUGUUUAUGGUUUUGUACGUUUCCACAGCUAGCCGGUUUGGCACUAUUACUUUGAAGCACUUUUUCCUAUUCACUUAUACCUGGAGAGGACGACCGUCUAGACACGUUCGUCCUCCUCGGCUGUCCGAGCAGGAGUGAUGGGGGCGAAUUCUUCACAGCUAACGAAAACCCUUCAGCGUAACCGACCAUCUCAUUUUCCUCGCAUGAGAUUCUGCUGCAACCCCGACUCACGGCUUGUCUGACUCCAAGACCCGGUGUAAUCAGCUGCCAGACAUUGCUUCAGACUCACUUAGAACCGGCCCAACGAAAUAUCUCAGAACAACGACUACCAACUGUCCCUCACAAGAUAUAGACACGGAGCUGACCUCUCUGGUUUCAACGAAAUGUAAUUCCCUUACGCGAAUAACUUUUUUCUCUUUCAUUUAACCCCGUUGCUUUAUCAGGGCCGAUGCGUAGCAGCAUGUACGUAAAAAGCUCUGGUUUCAACGAAAUGUAAUUCGUAAUGUAAGGGUGAUGUUUCGGACCCGUGUGUUGCAGCAAUAAAUGACAA
rnacentral:misc_RNA from 1 species